UACGUAGGUCCCGAGCGUUGUCCGGAUUUAUUGGGCGUAAAGCGAGCGCAGGUGGUUUAAUAAGUCUGAUGUAAAAGGCAGUGGCUCAACCAUUGUGUGCAUUGGAAACUGUUAGACUUGAGUGCAGUAGAGGAGAGUGGAAUUCCAUGUGUAGCGGUGAAAUGCGUAGAUAUAUGGAGGAACACCGGUGGCGAAAGCGGCUCUCUGGACUGUCACUGACACUGAGGCUCGAAAGCGUGGGUAGCAAACCGG
rnacentral:rRNA from 1 species